UACGGAGGGCGCAAGCGUUGUUCGGAAUUACUGGGCGUAAAGCGCGCGUAGGCGGCCUGAAGAGUCGGGUGUGAAAUCCCGGAGCUCAACUCCGGAACCGCAUUCGAUACUGCCAGGCUCGAGUCUCGGAGAGGACGGCGGAAUUUCCGGUGUAGAGGUGAAAUUCGUAGAUAUCGGAAGGAACACCAGUGGCGAAGGCGGCCGUCUGGACGAUGACUGACGCUGAGACGCGAAAGCGUGGGGAGCAAACAGG
rnacentral:rRNA from 1 species